rnacentral:rRNA from 1 species
GAUGAACGCUGGCGGCGUGCCUAAUACAUGCAAGUCGAGCGAACAGAUAAGGAGCUUGCUCCUUUGACGUUAGCGGCGGACGGGUGAGUAACACGUGGAUAACCUACCUAUAAGACUGGGAUAACUUCGGGAAACCGGAGCUAAUACCGGAUAACAUAUUGAACCGCAUGGUUCAAUAGUGAAAGGCGGCUUUGCUGUCACUUAUAGAUGGAUCCGCGCCGUAUUAGCUAGUUGGUAAGGUAACGGCUCACCAAGGCAACGAUACGUAGCCGACCUGAGAGGGUGAUCGGCCACACUGGAACUGAGACACGGUCCAGACUCCUACGGGAGGCAGCAGUAGGGAAUCUUCCGCAAUGGGCGAAAGCCUGACGGAGCAACGCCGCGUGAGUGAUGAAGGUCUUCGGAUCGUAAAACUCUGUUAUCAGGGAAGAACAAAUGUGUAAGUAACUGUGCACAUCUUGACGGUACCUGAUCAGAAAGCCACGGCUAACUACGU